rnacentral:lncRNA from 1 species
AUUCUUCAUAAUCCUUUGCAUGAUCACUAAGGUUCGAGCGAAUGGAGUUUUCUCAUAUAAAAAGGAAUUGGAUUCAUAAGCUCUCCAUGGAAAUUUUCAUGUAUAAAAGGAAUUGAAUUUAUAACCUUUCCAUUGGGGUGCUCACUCAGACAUUCUAGACUAUUCGAUUCUUCUGUUUCUAGGCACAUAAUCGUUCAAACUCUUUCGCAUGAUCAAUAAGGUUUGAGAGAAUGGAAGUUUCUCACACGUAGAAGGAACUGAAUUUAUAACUUCUUCAUGGGGUGUGCCAGAAAUGCGAAAAUUUCAUCC